UACGGGGGGGGCAAGCGUUGUUCGGAAUUACUGGGCGUAAAGGGCUCGUAGGCGGCCAACUAAGUCAUACGUGAAAUCCCUCGGCUUAACCGGGGAACUGCGUCUGAUACUGGAUGGCUUGAGAUUGGGAGAGGGAUGCGGAAUUCCAGGUGUAGCGGUGAAAUGCGUAGAUAUCUGGAGGAACACCGGUGGCGAAGGCGACAUCCUGGACCAACACUGACGCUGAGGAGCGAAAGCCAGGGGAGCAAACGGG
rnacentral:rRNA from 1 species